AAGCCAAGAAAUCGGUGUUGGCUUUGUUCGUCCUCCAAUUUUAAAAAAGAAAGAAAGAUGGACCCGUUAAAUGUUGAAUAACAGCAUUGAGACAGGCGUAAGGGUAAGCGGGCGUUCAUCCUCCAAUAAAGCUUAGACAACAAGGCACGAAGGCAGGGAUAGCGAGGCGAUGGUGGCAAGGGGUUUCACCGAUAGCAGAGCACCUCAUCUGCUCUCAGCGUCCUCUCUCUGGCACUCGUCGUCUUUAUAGUGAGGGAACUUUUGGGAAAUUGGCAUGGAGAGAGCUGAGGCGAGGAAGAAAAUGCGAGGGGAAUUUAGAU
rnacentral:misc_RNA from 1 species